rnacentral:lncRNA from 1 species
UUCACUCCCAACAGAGUUUCUGAAGUAACUUUCUGAAGCCAGGGGACUCUGCUCAUCCCUUAUCCCGUUCUUUAUUAUGGCCCAAUAUUCCUUUCAGGGGUUUCCUUCCUUUCUGUUAAAAUACCUUAUCCACAGAGGAACUGGCAUGGACAUUUCAAGAACAAAAUAACACUCUUGAUAGUAAUGGUUGUCUCUCUCAAGUCAAGUACAUGCUUGUUGAUUACAAUCAGCACAAAAGAAAAUUUCAGCUUCAUAACAAUCGAAAAUUUGCUCCUACUUUGAAAUCCAGGAGUUUGGCUGGGGCCAUGAAGAACAGGAGGAGCCAAGGCUAAGGGGUUCAAAUGCAGAUGACUCCUUAAAGCAUGAACAAAGCUUGAUACCUGAUAGCAUGUAAAGGGUGCUCUCAGUAUUGAAAUAAGUCUCAUACAACUCAGUGUUACAGAGUAACGUUUGGAUUUUGGCAAGAUUUAGAGCAUUUCUUUGGGGGCGGAGAAUCAAUGCGCUAGGAUUAGCUAAAUCUGCGAAAGGUGAACUCUCAUUUCAUUCAGACAAGGACAGAUUUGAACAUUCAUUCAAGAAGAAUGGAUGUGUGCGUGACCC